UACGGAGGGUGCAAGCGUUAUCCGGAUUCACUGGGUUUAAAGGGUGCGUAGGCGGCUAGGUAAGUCCGUGGUGAAAUCCUGCAGCUUAACUGCAGAACUGCCAUGGAUACUAUUUAUCUUGAAUGUCGUGGAGGUUAGCGGAAUAUGUCAUGUAGCGGUGAAAUGCUUAGAUAUGACAUAGAACACCCAUUGCGAAGGCAGCUAACUACGCGAUAAUUGACGCUGAUGCACGAAAGCGUGGGGAGCAAACAGG
rnacentral:rRNA from 1 species